UACAGAGGGUGCAAGCGUUGUUCGGAAUUAUUGGGCGUAAAGCGCGCGCAGGCGGCUCUUCAAGUCAGGGGUGAAAGCCCAGAGCUCAACUCUGGAACUGCCUUUGAGACUGAAGAGCUUGAGUACGGGAGAGGUGAGUGGAAUUCCCAGUGUAGAGGUGAAAUUCGUAGAUAUUGGGAAGAACACCGGUGGCGAAGGCGGCGACCUGGUCCGAUACUGACGCUGAGGCGCGAAAGCGUGGGGAGCAAACAGG
rnacentral:rRNA from 1 species